GCUCACAGCAAAAUGAAGAGGCAGGUGCAGAGACUUCCCGCGUACCCCCUGCCCUGCCCUGCACAGCCGCCCCUGCAUCACCCCCCCAGAGCUAUGGUCCCUUGUCCUCACCAAUGCUGCUGCUUCCUUAGGGUUCACUCUCCGUGUUGCGCCUUCUGUGGGUUUGGAGAAACAGCGAGGGCCUGUAUCUGUCCCAGCAUCCCUCGGAAUAGCUUCCCUGCCGUGAACUCCCUGCGUGCCACCUGCGUGCCCCUCCCCCACCUGCCGUCCCCAGGCGCUCUCUUGGAUCUUCUGGAUGCGCUCUUGGGAAUCUGGCCGGGCAGGCGAGGAGGUCUUGACGCCUGGAGGAGGACGUUUCCAGCACACAGCAUCACACGAAUCCGUCAGGUUCUGGGCGCCUGGGCGGGAGGCGCCCCUAAGCCCUGAGCCUGAGAACGGGGAGCGGGGAGGGGGAGGCUGGAAGGACCUACGUGGCCUCAGCAGCUCCUGAAGGGAUCCCGCAGCUGAGGGACCGUGCCUUCGGGAGGGGGGCUGGCUCCCCUCUGGCACCUUUCAGCGAGAAUUACAAGGCAUUGGUGAGCUGAAAUCUCCCCAGACUGCUCGGUGGGACUCCUGCCCAGCUGAGGGUGCCAGGGUGAGGGGCCCACUCCCUGCCCUGGGGCUGCCCGGGGCAGCGGGCACUGGUCCAUCAGGAACCCACAAGCCUCCCAGCGGCGUGGCCUGCGAGGCUGGGGCUGAAGGACCCGGGAGAGCUCUGCUGGGCUGGCUCUGGGUCAGCCGGACUGCAUGUGAUGAUUGGAGUUUCUGUUCAUUGCCUGCUCUGGACGGCCCUGAAUCUGCCUGGCGGCCUUGGGAAACCACUGUUUCACCUCUGGUUGCCAAAGCACAGAGACAAGCACACAGUUUUAUGGGUGCAGAUCUGUUUUCUCCCUGUGUGGGGCCCUCCAGGGCCCGACCCCAGCCUCUGAAGCAAAGCCUCCUUGUGCCCCUCCUAAAAACCCCCGUCCUUUUCCC
rnacentral:lncRNA from 1 species